GGCCGGGGUCAUUUGGGUUGACAGAAGAGAGUGAGCACACAGCGGGCGGUGGCAUCGAUCCGCGGGAUGCCGUCGCUGUUGCGUGCUCACUCCUCUCUCUGUCAUCCCUGUCUCCCUGGCG
rnacentral:miRNA from 15 species